rnacentral:rRNA from 1 species
AUGAUUCUGGUAGAAGUGGUAGGGGAGUCAGCAUCCUGUGGCGUUCGUUGUUUUUAUGGAAAGACGUGGAUGGAUGCCUAUUUUCUUACUGCUUGGAAUUGGAAGGAGAAGUUAGGCGUGACGGCACCCGCAGAGCAGGAAGAAGAGCCGAGCCGGCGUGCCGCGGCAGGCGGGGAGCGGGACGCUGACUUCCGUUCCGUCCACGUGACGGUCACGCGAGAGGAUCGAGCGCCUGCCAAGGAAGAGGAGAAGAGAAACUACUCCUAUAGUACGAACGAAAGGCGGAGCAUUUCUUCGCGGCGACGACGGCGAGGCGUCGGCGCGUCGCUCGCUCGUGCCCUCACGUGCGCAGAUUUGGAUUCAGAUUCCGCUCGAGGUCGACCCUUGCUGGCACGGGAGACCAAACGGUGA